GGCGCGGUGGUGCAGUGGUCAGCAGCGUCCCCUCAGACCGUGAUGGCUGUGGGUUCGAUCCCCCGGGCUG